UGUAGAUCCAGAUUAUUGGUGCAAGCAAUGGAAAGCAAGUUGCUGUUUUUGAAAAUGUUUGUAAUAAUUUUAUGGUCAUUUGGCUGACUCAACAAAAUGUUAUCAAAGUAGUCCCUUCUCUAAUAAUGCCUCUUUUUGAGCCCCAAUCCAUGUUAAACUUCCUCCCCCUUCAUGAUAAAGAAUAUUACCCAUGUCUAAUCAUAGGCAUCCCAAUGGCUAAGUAUAUUAAGGUGGCUUGAUACAAUUUUUAGAAAUAUGGAAAAAUUAUAAGUUGGAUCAAGCUUAGGACUAGCAGUUACUAGCUUGUCAGAAAUAAAAAGUUGUAAAGUGACGUCACCACUGUUAUGAUAUGGCAUCAAUGAAGAAUCAAUAUGGCCAAUAUUUUGGAUUACUAUUCUAUAUUUUAUAAAACGUUUUCUUGUGAAGGAUCUGACCGAGUUUAAAAAAAUACUGUAAAGCCAAAAAAAAUUUAUUUGGAUGUAUUGAUGUAUGUAAAUGUAUUAAAGAGGUUUGAUACAAAGUAAUGAUUAAAUUACAUGUCUGCUCAUUCGUCUAAGAGUUUUUUCCAGAAUGUAAAUGAUCCAUUAUUUUUAUUAUUUUUCAGCUUGAAACAUCGUCAACAAUAAAGGACCUCAAAGAUCAAUUGUACUUGAAAUGUAAUUGUAAUAUUUUUCAAUUUGUUCUUGAUUUGUGGAAAUGAUUUUGAUGCAAGGAAAGGUCUCAAUAUGCAUUAUGGAAUAAAAUUGUUAAUUAAAUUUUAGUACUGUACUACAACUUUUGCAUGGAGUCAUU